rnacentral:sRNA from 1 species
GCCCCCCUCUAUGACCCUGAGGCCAAGCAGUUGAGGCCUGCGUGCGCCCAGGCGCUGACGCGCAUCUUCAGGCUCUCAGAUCAGGACCUGGACCAGGCGCUCAGUGACGAAGAGCUCAACGCUUUCCAGAAAUCCUGCUUUGGGCACCCCCUGGCCCCGCAGGCCCUGGAGGACGUGAAGACGGUGGUGUGCAGGAACGUGGCGGGCGGCGUGCGGGAGGACCGGCUGACCCUGGAUGGUGAGGCCGGGUGCCCGCCUGUGCCUGGGGAGUGUGGGGAGGGGGCUGUGCCUGGUGCUCCCCCUGCUCUGUCUCGGUGCAGGUUUCCUCUUCCUGAACACGCUCUUCAUCCAGCGCGGCCGGCACGAGACCACCUGGACCAUCCUGCGGCGCUUCGGCUACAGCGACGCCCUGGAGCUGACUGCGGACUAUCUCUCCCCUCCGUGAGUGAUGCCGGGGCUUGAGGCCUGCCCUCCCCG